rnacentral:rRNA from 1 species
GACAGAGGGUGCAAACGUUGCUCGGAAUUACUGGGCGUAAAGCGCGUGUAGGCGGGUCGGAAAGUCGGGCGUGAAAUCCCCAGGCUCAACCUGGGAACUGCACUCGAAACUUCCGAUCUAGAGUGGUGGAGAGGGAAGUGGAAUUCCAGGUGUAGCGGUGAAAUGCGUAGAUAUCUGGAGGAACACCGGUGGCGAAGGCGGCGUCCUGGACCAACACUGACACUGAUGAGCGAAAGCCAGGGGAGCAAACGGG